rnacentral:rRNA from 1 species
GAUGAACGCUGGCGGCGUGCCUAAUACAUGCAAGUCGAGCGAACGGACGAGAAGCUUGCUUCUCUGACGUUAGCGGCGGACGGGUGAGUAACACGUGGAUAACCUACCUAUAAGACUGGGAUAACUUCGGGAAACCGGAGCUAAUACCGGAUAAUAUUUUGAACCGCAUGGUUCAAUAGUAAAAGACGGUCUUGCUGUCACUUAUAGAUGGAUCCGCGCUGCAUUAGCUAGUUGGUAAGGUAACGGCUUACCAAGGCAACGAUGCAUAGCCGACCUGAGAGGGUGAUCGGCCACACUGGAACUGAGACACGGUCCAGACUCCUACGGGAGGCAGCAGUAGGGAAUCUUCCGCAAUGGGCGAAAGCCUGACGGAGCAACGCCGCGUGAGUGAUGAAGGUCUUCGGAUCGUAAAACUCUGUUAUUAGGGAAGAACAUAUGUGUAAGUAACUGUGCACAUCUUGACGGUACCUAAUCAGAAAGCCACGGCUAACUACGUG